rnacentral:rRNA from 1 species
GCUCGAGUGGCGAACGGGUGAGUAACACGUGAGUAACCUGCCCUUGACUUUGGGAUAACUUCGGGAAACUGGGGCUAAUACCGGAUAGGAGCUCCUGCUGCAUGGUGGGGGCUGGAAAGUUUCGGCGGUUGGGGAUGGACUCGCGGCUUAUCAGCUUGUUGGUGGGGUAGUGGCUUACCAAGGCUUUGACGGGUAGCCGGCCUGAGAGGGUGACCGGCCACAUUGGGACUGAGAUACGGCCCAG